GAUGAACGCUGGCGGCGUGCUUAACACAUGCAAGUCGAACGGUGAAGGCGGAGCUUGCUCUGCUGGAUCAGUGGCGAACGGGUGAGUAACACGUGAGCAAUCUGCCCCUGACUCUGGGAUAAGCGCUGGAAACGGCGUCUAAUACUGGAUACGAGCUGCGAAGGCAUCUUCAGCAGCUGGAAAGAAUUUCGGUCAGGGAUGAGCUCGCGGCCUAUCAGCUUGUUGGUGAGGUAAUGGCUCACCAAGGCGUCGACGGGUAGCCGGCCUGAGAGGGUUACCGGCCACACUGGGACUGAGACACGGCCCAGACUCAUACGGGAGGCAGCAGUGGGGAAUAUUGCACAAUGGGCGAAAGCCUGAUGCAGAAACGCCGCGUGAGGGACGACGGCCUUCGGGUUGUAAACCUCUUUUAGCAGGGAAGAAGCGAAAGUGACGGUACCUGCAGAAAAAGCGCCGGCUAACUACGUG
rnacentral:rRNA from 1 species